UCAAAAGGAAAAUGCAUAAAUAUUGAAAUCGUAAUCAUAUGUAAUUUUAUACGAAGAAUAAUGAAAUUAUAUCAAAAGGUCUACAAUGAAUAUAGGUUUAGUGAAAAACCAAUAAAGUUCUAGUCAUAAUUUUAUUCUCCUCUCUACCCCUACCUCACCCCUUUUACAAAACAACGAGGACACCAAGUAAAAUAUAUGUUUUAACACAAGUCUGUUGAGAGUGGAGCGAAAAGUGAAAAGAAACACAUAAAAUCUGUUUUCAACUAUCGUGAGUAGAAAGAUAAAAAAAAAAAAAAUCACAACGAAAACAAAGAUUCGUCAGCAGUACAUAAAUUGCAACAAAUGCCAGUGAUAAUGAAUGCGCCACUAAUAAUAAUAAUAACAACAACAACAACAACAGCAACACCAAAAACAACGAUAGCAGUUAAUUUGAAAGAAAGUAAAUUUUAAAUAUCGCUCUAAUCUAUCCGUCUUUAGAGAGUUAUACUGCAUUUUACAACACUUUGUUUCAUUGAGAAAUUUGGGAAAUAUUAUACGGCACUUUAUAACGCUUUAUAUAGAAGUUUUGGAUAAUGUUGUAAAUAUUUUAUAGAAAUCCGCUUCGCUUCACAUAUAUAACAAACCUUGGCAAAGAUGCUUGCCUUGUGAGGGCGUCACAGCCCCCGUUCGCGUUUUAAUUUAAAAUUGAAAUUUUAGCGUGUUAAGCGGAUAAAAGGAAAAGAAAAAUAGAAAGAGAGGGAGAGAAGAAGAAGAAGAAGAAGAAAAAAAAGAAAAAGAAAAAGUGUGGGCUACAAAAAGGGGGUGUGUAAUUUCCCAUUGCAAUUUGUAUAUUUUUAUUUUUGCACAAUUCCAAUUGGGUUCUAAAGCUUUCAAAAAGAUUUGUAAGUGUGGGCGUGUGAUUCUGCAAGUGUAUUUUUUCUGUGAUUAAAUUAAAGUGAUUGCAAUAAAAUGGAUAACGACGAUACGAUGCUCAACAAUUGUGGACCUCAGCCUGGCGCUGAAACCGUCUACGGCACUGAUGACAAUAACAUGGUCAUGUCGGAAAAGAAUGAACAGGUUGUCAGCAUCGUUCAGCAAUUAGCCGGCAGCAUUUAUCAAGAAUUCGAACGCAUGAUUAAUCGUUACGAUGAGGAUGUUGUAAAAAAUUUAAUGCCUUUACUAGUGAAUGUUCUCGAGUGUUUAGAUGCCUCGUAUCGCAUCAAUCAAGAACAAGACGUUGAAGUCGAAUUAUUGCGUGAGGAUAACGAACAGUUGGUAACACAAUAUGAACGUGAGAAAAGUGCUCGCAAAUUAGCCGAACAAAAGCUUUUAGAAUCGGAAGACUUAGCUGAACAAGAAAAUAAAGAGUUGGCGAGCCGUUUAGAGUCAUUAGAGAGCAUAGUAAGGAUGUUGGAAUUAAAGCAUAAAAAUAGCUUAGAACAUGCCAGCCGCUUAGAAGAAAGAGAAUCCGAAUUAAAAAAGGAAUAUAAUAAACUACAUGAACGUUAUACGGAACUAUUUAAAAAUCAUGUUGAUUACAUGGAAAGAACCAAAAUGCUAAUGGGCUCCACGCAUUCACAAAUGAGUUCGGCUUCAGAUCGCAUGGAAUUGAGUAGAGCACGUUUAAAUCCCGUAGCCCGAUCUUCUGGUCCCGUAUCGUACGGUUUCGCGUCUUUGGAAAAUUCCACAAUGCUAGAUACAGAAACUAUAUGCAGCGUAGGCAGCAACUCAGACGAUUCGGGACCUCCAUCAUUGCAAAAUGAAAUGGAAAAUAUACAAACGGUAGAGAGAGCAGCCGAAACCGAUAGUUUACAACAACACAAUCAAGCCACAUCACCGCAUACAACCGAAACCAGUCCAAUUGUGCCAAAUACAACAUCCAAUGUUGGCCGUACUACCACGAAAAAGGAACAGCGUUCUGCUAACAAUCUUUAUCAAGAGUUGUCCUUUCAAGAUAACGAAGAAAGCGAAGAAAAUGAAAUUGUUACAGGAAGUUGGGUUCAUCCUGGGGAAUAUGCUUCUUCAGCUAAUGACAAUUAUUUUGGUAUGGGCAAAGAAGUGGAGAAUCUCAUUAUGGAAAACAAUGAGCUAUUGGCCACCAAAAAUGCUCUUAAUAUUGUUAAGGAUGAUUUGAUAGCUAAGGUUGAUGAGCUAACGGGAGAAAUUGAAAUUCUCCGCGAGGAACUGAAUGCAAUGCAGCAGUCACGUAAUAAAUUGCGUUCAAAAGUGCAAGAACUGGAAGAUGAACUUAAGAAAACCAAAGAACAAGUCAAACAACAAAAUGACAAUGAGCAGGAAGAAAACGAUGUACCGUUGGCCCAGCGUAAACGUUUCACUCGGGUCGAAAUGGCUAUGGUGCUUAUGGAACGUAAUCAAUACAAAGAACGUCUAAUGGAAUUACAAGAAGCCGUACGUCUUACCGAAAUUAUUAGAGCAUCGCGUACCGUAGAAUUGGAUAAAAAAUCGAAGCAGAGCAUAUGGAAAUAUUUCAGUAAUUUGUUUUCCCCCUCCAAUCGCCCUCAGGAACGUGCAGCUGAUGGGCAGGGAGGGGGGCCUAUGUUUCGCUACUCAAGUCCAGUACACUCCCACGGAUCACCCAGUCGAAAUAGCGACAAUCGCCUUGCCAUAACGGGACGAGAUCACACGUCGCCAUUUCAUCCGGUCAAUGCCGGUUUGGCUAAUGCUCUACCCAAUGCCAAAGAUUAUUCUGAUGAGGGUACCUCAGAGCGGGCUCGUGCUAGACGUCACGAACAAUAUCGUCAGCUAAGAGCACAUGUACAAAAGGAAGAUGGACGUAUGCAUGCUUACGGCUGGAGUUUACCGGCCAGUAAAGCUAUUAAUGAAAAGGAAUCACAAAACCGCCAUUCCGGCAGUGUUCCGGUGCCAGUUUAUUGUAAUCCCCUCGCAGAGGCUUCGCCGCACAUGAAAGUGUUCUGUGCGGCUGGUGUUAAUUUAAACGGUGGCUUUACCAAAAACGGUCAAUCGAUCAUACCCGCUACCUCACCCUAUGCGCCACGUUCUACAGCGAAAAUUGCCGAAAUAACUAGCCCGACUGCAGAACAUUCAGCCGAAGCUUUAGAUCGUCAAAUAACUAGAGCUAGUCUUGAACAUUUGGAACCUGAAACUCAGUUGACCUCUUACGUUUGGAUAUGUACCAGCACUCACGGAGCCAGCACUGUCACCGUUGUGGAUGCCAAUCAAUCUGCAACUGUUUUAGAUGUUUUCCCCGUGUGUUCUUCCCAUUUACUAUGCAUCGCAUCGGUGCCAGGUGCAAUGGAAAAAGACUAUGCUUUACUUGAAAAUUCCGAGGUAAUAAAAGCAGGUGAAAUGCUUGAGAGGCCCGGAGAGGGACAGGAAGAUUUUGGCAAAGUCGAAUUUGUACGUGUAAAACCGAAAUCCGAUAAGAACAGUAAUACCAAAGAGGAUGUACUAGUGGAGAUAAAUACUGAGACGCCGGUGGAAGAGAAAGCUAAAGAAGCGACUGAAAAAUCAAAUGAAAUCAAUGGCUCAGUACCUAUGGAACCAUUGGGUAAUGUAAAUGAAAUUAAAAUACGCCAAGCUUUACCGGGUGCACCGCAACGAUUACAUAUUGCAGCUGAAGCCAAAGCAGCACAAACGCCUACUUCGAAUUCAGCUACAGUCGUUAAUGCAAAUAACAACACUAAUAACAACAACAAUGUGCUUAGUCAACAAUUAACUUUUUCGAAAUCUAUAAAUCCAAUAUUGGAUACAAAAGACCGUCUAGAACCAUUGAUGAGCUCUGUUGGUCCGACCAUGUGGUUGGGUGCUCAGGAUGGUUGCUUGUACGUACACAGUUCAGUAGGCCGCUGGCAUGAAUGCUUGCACAAAGCUCUCUUGCCCGAUGCCGUCCUAGCGAUAGUUCAUGUGGAGUCGCGUGUUGUGGUGGCUCUGGCCAAUGCCCAAUUAGCCGUGUUCCGCCGCCAAACAGACGGCCAAUGGGAUCUGAAUAGUUAUCAUCUGGUUACGCUGGGUGAUCGUAAUCAUUCGAUACGUUGCCUCUGUGUGGCUGGCGAACGCAUAUGGGCUGCCCAUCGCAACAAGAUAUUCAUUGUCGAUCCGAUCUCAUUGAAUAUUAUACACUCGCUGGACGCUCAUCCGCGCAAAGAGAGUCAAGUGCGGCAAAUGGCUGCCACAGGUGCCGGCGUAUGGGUAUCGAUACGAUUGGAUUCCACCCUACGUUUGUACAAUACAUACACAUUCGAGCAUAAACAGGAUGUGGACAUAGAACCAUAUGUUUCGAAAAUGUUGGGCACUGGAAAAUUAGGUUUUUCUUUCGUACGUAUUACCGCUUUAAUGGUGUCGUGUAAUCGUCUGUGGAUAGGCACCAGUAAUGGUGUUAUUAUAUCUGUACCGCUUUCAGAUAACAACAGUAAAUCAAUUGAUCCGAACAGUCAGCUGCCAUUGUGCUGCAUGGCCAAUGCUCAAUUAUCCUUUCACGGUCAUCGGGAUGCAGUCAAGUUCUUUGUUUCCGUACCUUUGAAACAGAACGGUACAUCUCAGUUGCAAUUUACCAACAAACGGCCCGAUAUGUUGGUUAUGUGUGGCGGUGAAGGUUACAUCGAUUUUCGCAUCAGACAUGAAAGAUCAAUAACCGAUGCUAGUGAUAAUGCUGCGCAUUUGAUAGUUUGGAAAGUUAAUUCUACUUUCAACUUAUAGUCGAUAAAUUUUGCAUUGAAGUUCUCUCAUAUAUUAAUGUGCGUCAUAAUUAACAUUACGCGUUUACUUAGAGCGGCCUGCGGCCAUAUGACAACCUUUCGAGGAAUUUCCUUCCUCAAGCCCAGAAAGCUAACGAUUUCAGUGACCUGAUACAAUAAAUUGCGAAAAUCAAGAUGAUAACGAUAUGGAGAAAAGUAUAAAUUUGGAACCGAAUCAAACCAUAGAAAAUCGUGGUGAGAAAAGUUAUUUAAUUGUGUGGA